rnacentral:rRNA from 1 species
AUUGAACGCUAGCGGGAUGCUUUACACAUGCAAGUCGAACGAGUGGAGGACGGGGGAGUACUAUAUCGGAACGUGCCCAGUAGCGGGGUCUAACUCAGCGAAAGAGUGGCUAAUACCGCAUACUGUUGGCUCGGCCGUUAUCGGAUUAGCUAGUUGGUGGGGUAAAGCCUAAUCAAGGAAACGAUCCGUAGCUGGUUUUAGAGUACGACCGGCCACACUGUGACUGAGAAACGGCCCAGACUCCUACGGUAGGCAGCAGUAGGGAAUUUUAGACAAUGGGUGAAACCCGGACCCAGCCAUCCCGCGUGUAUGAGAAUGCCUUCGGGUUGUAAAGUACUUUUGGCAGAGAAGCGGUAUCUGCAGAAUAAGCACCGGCUAACUACGUGCCAGCAGCCGCGGUAAUUC